GACGAACGCUGGCGGCGUGCCUAAUACAUGCAAGUCGAGCGAAGUUUUUCUGGUGCUUGCACCGGAAAAACUUAGCGGCGAACGGGUGAGUAACACGUAAAGAACCUGCCUUAUAGACUGGGACAACUAUUGGAAACGAUAGCUAAUACCGGAUAACAGCAUUAACUGCAUGGUUGAUGCUUGAAAGUUGGUUUUGCUAACACUAUGAGAUGGCUUUGCGGUGCAUUAGCUAGUUGGUGGGGUAAAGGCCUACCAAGGCGACGAUGCAUAGCCGACCUGAGAGGGUGAUCGGCCACACUGGGACUGAGACACGGCCCAGACUCCUACGGGAGGCAGCAGUAGGGAAUCUUCCGCAAUGGGCGGAAGCCUGACGGAGCAACGCCGCGUGAGUGAAGAAGGAUUUCGGUUCGUAAAGCUCUGUUGUUAGGGAAGAAUGAUUGUGUAGUAACUAUACACAGUAGAGACGGUACCUAACCAGAAAGCCACGGCUAACUACGUG
rnacentral:rRNA from 1 species